AUGAUCUUCAUCAACCCUCUUCGCCAAGAAAUUGACACCCUACUACUCCUACUCGAAGAAUUUGGUAAUGCCACAGGGCUCCGCAUAAACUUAGAAAAAUCUUCAGUAGCCCCGAUUAGAUGUAGAGACAUCGACCUCCAGGAUGUUCUACAUGAUUUUGGCGGCACUAUUGUAGGUUUCUCGCUGCGCUACCUAGGCCUCCUCAUAACAAUCUCCCGUGUACGUCUGGUCCAUCUUCAAUUCAUCCUCGCCAGAAUUAGAGCUAGACUGGUGGCAUGGAAAGGGCGCCUUAUGUCUAUUGUGGGCCGUCGGGUUCUCAUCUGGUCUGUCCUAACAGCACUGCCAACCUUUGCCCUGACGAUCCCGCGUGUCCCGAAGAAACUUCUCAAGGACAUUGACAAGUGCAGGCGGCGUUUCCUCUGGGCUGGUCCACCGUUUGCACCCCAACGGAUUAUGGAGGCCUUGGUGUUCUUGACCUGCAGUGUUUCAGUCGUGCAUUAA
rnacentral:rRNA from 1 species